rnacentral:rRNA from 1 species
ACGGAAGGCAGCAGUGGGGAAUAUUGCACAAUGGGCGCAAGCCUGAUGCAGCGACGCCGCGUGAGCGAAGAAGUAUUUCGGUAUGUGAAGCUCUAUCAGCAGGGAAGAAAAUGACGGUACCUGACUAAGAAGCUCCGGCUAAAUACGUGCCAGCAGCCGCGGUAAUACGUAUGGAGCAAGCGUUAUCCGGAUUUACUGGGUGUAAAGGGAGCGUAGACGGAACAGCAAGUCUGAUGUGAAAGGCAGGGGCUCAACUCCUGGACUGCAUUGGAAACUGUUGAUCUUGAGUGCCGGAGAGGUAAGCGGAAUUCCUAGUGUAGCGGUGAAAUGCGUAGAUAUUAGGAGGAACACCAGUGGCGAAGGCGGCUUACUGGACGGUAACUGACGUUGAGGCUCGAAAGCGUGGGGAGCAAACAGGAUUAGAUACCCUGGUA